rnacentral:lncRNA from 10 species
AAACCUCCUCUGGCGUUCCCAGUCGUCAGCAAAGAUGCUUUUUCAGGGUGCAAGUAAUUUCCUCUCCCCAUUCCUUGAGGACUGUCAGAAUGCGAUGCAGUCAGAUUAUGCAAAGCCUGGGUCGUCCUCAGUUUUUUGACCGUGGGUGCAAAACAUGGUUUUCAGGAGACCUGGGUAGUCAUCUACAGAGGGUGACAGAAUAUGAGCAAGUUUCUCAGAUCUCUGUGGCAACGCCUGGUGACUUCUACCUUCCUUCUCGCCAUUCGUCCUGACCUGGAACCUGUGAAGUUUUGGCAAUUUCAUUUGAGAUGGGUCAUGGACUUUCCAAAGGGACAUUAGAAGAUUUGCUUUCUCAGCGUGCAGCAUCUCAUGUGUAAAGGCGCCGAAAAGGACAGAAUUGCUGUAUCAGAGCAUUCUCUCAGUCAUGAAAGGAGAAGUCUAAUCCCAAGAAACUGUGUGAAAUUGUAAAUGGCAACGAAAAUGUGAUGGUCAUCAGCUCUAUAGACGUUAGGAAUUUACCUUA